rnacentral:rRNA from 1 species
CCAAUAGCGUAUAUUAAAGUUGUUGCAGUUAAAAAGCUCGUAGUUGAAUUUCGGGAUUCGUCGGUUGGUCGGGCUUCACUGUCCGCACUGACCUGACGGGUUCCUACCUUCUGAAUAACCAGCAUGCUAUUAAGUUAGUGCGUUGGGGAAGCAGAGCUAUUACCUUGAAAAAAUUAGAGUGCUUAAAGCAGGCUUGUGCUUGAAUAGAUUAGCAUGGAAUAAUAAAAUAGGACGGCAUGGUUCUAUUUUGUUGGUUUCUAGGAUCACCGUAAUGAUUAAUAGGGAUAGUUGGGGGCAUUAGUAUUCAAUUGUCAGAGGUGAAAUUCUUGGAUUUAUUGAAGACUAACUUCUGCGAAAGCAUUUGCCAAGGAUGUUUUCAUUAAUCAAGAACGAAAGUUAGGGGAUCGAAGACGAUCAGAUACCGUCGUAGUCUUAACCAUAAACUAUGCCGACUAGGGAUCGGACGAUGUUAAUUUUUUAAUGACUCGUUCGGCGCCUUACG